GAGUUUGAUCGUGGCUCAGAUUGAACGCUGGCGGCAUGCCUUACACAUGCAAGUCGAACGGCAGCACGGGAGCUUGCUCCUGGUGGCGAGUGGCGAACGGGUGAGUAAUGCAUCGGAACGUAUCCUGGAGUGGGGGAUAACGUAGCGAAAGUUACGCUAAUACCGCAUAUUCUGUGAGCAGGAAAGCGGGGGACCUUUGGGCCUCGCGCUCUUGGAGCGGCCGAUGUCGGAUUAGCUAGUUGGUGAGGUAAAGGCUCACCAAGGCGACGAUCCGUAGCAGGUCUGAGAGGAUGAUCUGCCACACUGGAACUGAGACACGGUCCAGACUCCUACGGGAGGCAGCAGUGGGAAUUUUGGACAAUGGGGGCAACCCUGAUCCAGCCAUCGCCGCGUGAGUGAAGAAGGCCUGG
rnacentral:rRNA from 1 species